GUACACUCCUGCGGGAGGCAGCAGUGGGGAAUAUUGGACAAUGGGCGCAAGCCUGAUCCAGCCAUGCCGCGUGAGUGAUGAAGGCCCUAGGGAUGUAAAGCUCUUUCACCGGUGAAGAUAAUGACGGUAACCGGAGAAGAAGCCCCGGCUAACUUCGUGCCAGCAGCCGCGGUAAUACGAAGGGGGCUAGCGUUGUUCGGAUUUACUGGGCGUAAAGCGCACGUAGGCGGACUAUUAAGUCAGGGGUGAAAUCCCGGGGCUCAACCCCGGAACUGCCUUGGAUACUGGUAGUCUUGAGUUCGAGAGAGGUGAGUGGAAUUCCGAGUGUAGAGGUGAAAUUCGUAGAUAUUCGGAGGAACACCAGUGGCGAAGGCGGCUCACUGGCUCGAUACUGACGCUGAGGUGCGAAAGCGUGGGGAGCAAACAGGAUUAGAUACCCUAGUAGUCCCAUG
rnacentral:rRNA from 1 species